AGUGGCGGACGGGUGAGUAACGCGUGAGAAUCUGCCUUCAGGUCGGGGACAACAGAGGGAAACUUCUGCUAAUCCCGGAUGAGCCUUAGGGUAAAAAAUUUAUUGCCUGGAGAUGAGCUCGCGUCUGAUUAGCUAGUUGGUAAGGUAAAAGCUUACCAAGGCAACGAUCAGUAGCUGGUCUGAGAGGAUGAGCAGCCACACUGGGACUGAGACACGGCCCAGACUCCUACGGGAGGCAGCAGUGGGGAAUUUUCCGCAAUGGGCGAAAGCCUGACGGAGCAAGACCGCGUGGGGGAGGAAGGCUCUAGGGUUGUAAACCCCUUUUCUUUGGGAAGAACAAAAUGACGGUACCAAAGGAAUCAGCCUCGGCUAACUCCGUGCCAGCAGCCGCGGUAAUACGGAGGAGGCAAGCGUUAUCCGGAAUGAUUGGGCGUAAAGCGUCCGCAGGUGGCAAUUUAAGUCUGCUGUCAAAACCCAGGGCUCAACUCUGGUCAGGCAGUGGAAACUACAUAGCUAGAGUUCGGUAGGGGCAAAGGGAAUUCCCGGUGUAGCGGUGAAAUGCGUAGAGAUCGGGAAGAACAUCGGUGGCGAAAGCGCUUUGCUAGACCGAAACUGACACUCAGGGACGAAAGCUAGGGGAGCGAAUGGGAUUAGAUACCCC
rnacentral:rRNA from 1 species